CAGAAGACCGGCCCUCGACUCGCCCCACAAGGGAUCCAAGUGCAGAUCUCCACCCGGGCUGGAAACCGGCUCCGUGCUUUUCCGUUUUCCAAAGCGGCUUCCGCUUCCGGGCUAGCCUUUGCCGGAAACAGUCUAUGGGUGACGUAAAAGUGUCGCGCCGGCGGUGAUUCCGGAAGAAACAAGAGUGCGGCGUGAACAUGGGGAAGCAAAAGAAAACAAGGAAGUAUGCGACCAUGAAGCGAAUGCUUAGUCUCAGAGAUCAGAGGCUUAAAGAAAAGGAUAGAUUAAAACCUAAAAA